rnacentral:rRNA from 1 species
CUAGUGGAGUACUCCUUCUAAGCUAAAUACUGCCAUGAGACCGAUAGCGAACAAGUACCGUGAGGGAAAGUUGAAAAGCACUCUGAAUAGAGAGUCAAAUAGUACGUGAAACUGCCUAGGGGACGCAAACCCGUUGAACUCAAUGAUCCGGGCGGCGAUAUUCAGCGGUGGCCGGCUCGCUCGGCUGCCGUGCACUUAUCGAUCCGCAUCAAACGGACAUCGCGAUCCAUUGCGCAUCUGCGUGAGCAUAUCAUUCCGGCAACUGGCCCCUGGCUCGUGGUGGACGGCUCCCUAGUAGGGCGCGGCUUGGCGGCCGCCCCAAACGGGGGUCUCCGCGCCUUUCACACCCGAGAGGCGCUGGGUCCGACCGAGCUCCGGGUGUGCCGCUGGAAGCACGAUGGAACGUACGACCGGGGUCUAGGGAGCAGCCUUGUAGCCGAAGGCCUCGAAGCACUCGACCCCCCGAUCGGCGAUGACGCAUUACGCAUUGAGGUACCUCCGGGACCCGUCUUGAAACACGGACAAGAAAAUUCAACA